UACGGGGGGGGGCAAGCGUUGUUCGGAAUUACUGGGCGUAAAGGGCUCGUAGGCGGCCAACUAAGUCAGACGUGAAAUCCCUCGGCUUAACCGGGGAACUGCGUCUGAUACUGGAUGGCUUGAAUCCGGGAGAGGGAUGCGGAAUUCCAGGUGUAGCGGUGAAAUGCGCAGAUAUCAGGAGGAACACCGGUGGCGAAGGCGGAUCUCUGGGCCUUACCUGACGCUCAGGCGCGAAAGCUAGGGGAGCGAACAGG
rnacentral:rRNA from 1 species